rnacentral:piRNA from 1 species
UCCAAGAAGCUUGGUAACUGCCUUCCACCC